CAAAAGAAAUCUUUGUAGUCCACCUCAGUGGAGGCAGAGGGAACUGACGCACUUUUGGUGAUCAAAUAUUUCUCACCCACCUUCCCUGUUAAAUGGAGAAUCUCUGGAGUCUGGCUGCCUCCUAGGGGUACCUGGGCUCCCUGCCCCACUCACGCUGCCGGCUUCACUGGUGAGCUCACCUAGCCGGGCCACUGGUGCUGGUUCUCUGUUCCUACACGGUGGCUUCCGCAGACACACGUCCUGGGCUUCUACGGCUGCCCAGAGAAUCUUAAAUCGAAACAAAAACCCCCAAGCUAAUUCCCGUCCUGGAAUCUGCUUGGUGCCUCAACUUCCUUGGAGCCAAGCUCCUCUUUCCAGCCCUGUAAGUGGCAGAGGCACAGGCUCUGGGUUAGACUCCUGGGAGAGGACGGAGAACCAGGCCCUCUGACUUAUUCCACCCAGUGACCUGCUCAUCGAGGUUUGGCCAGGCUUGUCCUAGUUUUAGCACUAGGAAGUCCCAAGUCCCUGGAACUCCCUUCCUUAGCCCCAGGCAAAGUGGGAUGAUUGACUCCUCCACUCACCACCAACCUGGGUCUAACUCCCAAGCCAUUUUCCAGUGCCUAGACUUAGAGUAUUAAGACUGGUACUGAAAAUCUGGAAGGACCCAGGAAUAUUAGCUCAAAAAGCCAGCUUAAGUCCUUUCAGAACCAGGCAGAGAUUAAACAAAUAUGUGAAAAUAAAAAAUUAGCUCUGGCCUUAAAAGUCAUUAUCUUAGGUGUAAGAAACACACAAAAAAUCAAUUAUGAAGACCACAUAUUAUAUGAUUCCCUUUACAUGAAGUGUCCAGAAUAGGCAAAUCUACG
rnacentral:lncRNA from 1 species